ncrna:unclassified sequences skipping-rope RNA
GACAUCUGAGGUGGUAAAUUUCGUGUCGACCACACGCUGAUGGCAUGACAGGGGAAACCCGAGAGAUGCAGGGGCAUGGCACGCCUGCCGGAUGUU